AUGGUGUGUGUGUGUGUGUGUGUGUGUGUGUGUGUGUGUGUGUGUGUGUUUGGCUUCUGAUGUAAAAAUGCUGCUUCAUGAUUUAUUCGCCAUUUUGUGUAUUUUUUCUGUUUUGUGCCUUUAUAUAGAGAAUUGUGGGCGUCGCCAACCGUGAUUUCAGCAUUUAUCAACUCACACACACAAAGCAAAUCAGUGUUUACCCAAGCGUGUGUGAAAUUUAUUUUUGGAACUUUAAGUCACUCUCACACACACACACACACACACACACAUAUAUUUACAAAAUACACAGUGUAAAAGUGAAAGUGAAUCUUCAUGAAAUUGUUACAGAGAUUUCAAUUAAAAAUAUUAUUAAAUUGUUAAAUAGUAUUGUAGCCACGCCCCUUUCCAUAACAGGCACAAUAACUGUAUUGUCGCCACCCCUUUUUUCCUAACAUAUAUCAUACCUGUGUCGUAGCCACAUCCCUUUCUUUAAUGAGCACAGUAACUGUAUUGUAGCCACGCCUCUUUCCCUAACGGGCACAAUAACUUAAUUGUAGCCACGCCCCUUUUUUAAUGGGCAAAAAACUAUCCAGAGCGACGUAUAAAAGUGCUUUGAGUCUCUAUCAGUGAAUAAAUCUACACUGUACACCAGAUUACAAACUUAAUAUAAAUAUAACUCUUGAAUUCUACAAAGCAAACUUGGAAAGUGCUAAUGCUAAUUGGUACAAUAACUGUAAUGUAGCCACGCCCUUUCCCUAACAUGCAUUGUAACUGUAUCGUAGCCACUCCUUUUCUUCUAACCUAUAUCACAAUGGUAUCGUAAUCACGCCCCUUUCCAUAAGCUAUAUAAUACCAUAGCCAUGACCCUUUUCCCAAAACGGUAUCAUACCUGUAUUGUAGACACGCCCCUUUCCAUAACCACACCCCUUUUCAUUUUCAUGCCUUUAUCAGGUUCUUUGUUUUUGUUCUCCCUUUUUUAUGUCCCUGCCUCUAUUAAUAGCCCCACCUCUGUUCCAACUUCUGCCUGGACAUCCCUUUGUUUUCUGAUCACACCUUCUUCUCCUGACCACACCUUCUUUCUCUGACCACACCUCCUACUACCUGACCACACCUCCUACCACCUGACCACACCUUCUCCUGAUCACACCUCCUUCCCCUGACCACACCUCCUUCUCCUGACCACACCUUCUCCUCUGAACACACCCCCUACCAACUGACCACACCCCUUCCCCAGACCACACCCCUUUUCCUGACCACACCUUCUUCCCUGACUACACAUCCUUCCCCUGCUAUUUUUUCCUGCUUAAAUCCCAUAUAUGGCUGAUUUUUUCUUUCUCCACCUCUUAUCCCUGUUUCCACCCCAUUUCUAUAUCCUGCCCCGGUCACUUUUUCUGAUUUGUCCUUGACCACACCACUUUCUUUUUUUAAUAUUUUCAAUAAUCAUAACUCUUCCUGACCACACCCCUUUUCAUAUUAUCACCAAUCAGCAUAUCCACGUCAUCUCUCUGUGUGAUUAUCUCAUUAUAUUGUUGUUAGCGUCGGGUUAGAUGUUUCUCCUUAGCAAUUUUGAAACGUCCUUUACAGAGUCAAGGUCACAGCAAGGUCAAACAUUUGAAUUGACCUCCAUAACUUCCUGUCUGAAGUGUGUUUCAAAGGUAUUUUAGAGGAAAACGUUAUUAAUAUGGAGGACAUGAUGUGUUCACACUGGUGUACAGCAAAAUAAUAAAAAACCAGGAAAAUAAGAAUAUGUUCAUAUUUACACUCAGUUUAUGAGAACAAUUAAAUAACAGUUUGUGUGUGUGUGUGUGUGUGUGUGUAUGUGUGUGUGAGUGUAAUUGUGUGUGUGUGUGUGUGUGUGUGUGUGUGUGUGUGUGUGUGUGUGUGUAUUGAAUCAGUUCAUGGUGUUGAAGGUUCUGUGAUUGAAAAAUGGUGAUGUAAAUGUGAUAAUUUAUUAUAAAGUGAUUGGGUCUCAGUGAUUAUUAACAAACAUCUGGUUUAAGGUACACAAACAACUGAAAAUGAAUGAAUAAAUAAAUAAAUAAAUAUCAGAUGUUGACA